rnacentral:ncRNA from 1 species
GCGAGCCGUUUGCAGCGAAAGUUGCAUGCACGAUUCUUUGGGGGCCCUGCUGUUGAGAGGCAGCGGGGCGACCUUCU